CAUUCUCCUGAAUGAGUCCAGAGGUCACUCUAACAUUCUCCUGAAUGAGUCCAGAGGUCACUAACAUUCUCCUGAAUGAGUCCAGAGGUCACUAACAUUCUCCUGAAUGAGUCCAGAGGUCACUAACAUUCUCCUGAAUGAGUCCAGAGGUCACUCUUAACAUUCUCCUGAAUGAGUCCAGAGGUCACUAACAUUCUCCUGAAUGAGUCCAGAGGUCACUCUAACAUUCUCCUGAAUGAGUCCAGAGGUCACUCUUAACAUUCUCCUGAAUGAGUCCAGAGGUCACUAACAUUCUCCUGAAUGAGUCCAGAGGUCACUAACAUUCUCCUGAAUGAGUCCAGAGGUCACUAACAUUCUCCUGAAUGAGUCCAGAGGUCACUAACAUUCUCCUGAAUGAGUUCAGAGGUCACUAAUAUUCUCCUGAAUGAGUCCAGAGGUCACUAACACCUUCCUGAUGAGUCCAGAGGUCACUAACAUUCUCCUGAAUGAGUCCAGAGGUCACUAACAUUCUCCUGAAUGAGUCCAGAGGUCACUCUUAACAUUCUCCUGAAUGAGUCCAGAGGUCACUAACACCUUCCUGAUGAGUCCAGAGGUCACUAACACCUUCCUGAUGAGUCCAGAGGUCACUAAUAUUCUCCUGAAUGAGUACAGAGGUCACUAACACCUUCCUGAUGAGUCCAGAGGUCACUAACACCUUCCUGAUGAGUCCAGAGGUCACUAACACCUUCCUGAUGAGUCCAGAGGUCACUAAUAUUCUCCUGAAUGAGUACAGAGGUCACUAACACCUUCCUGAAUGAGUCCAGAGGUCACUAACACCUUCCUGAAUGAGUUCAGAGGUCACUAACACCUUCCUGAAUGAGUUCAGAGGUCACUAACACCUUCCUGAAUGAGUUAUAGCUGUUGAACACUGGACUAUAAUAUUAUUCAGGCCUUUGCAUUGAUUGCUCUAAAUCUGUGUAACACUUUUUGUCUUCCCCUCUCUGACGGGAAACAACACCCUGUCCCCGAAGUCAUGUUUAUAUCCAUCUCAUCUGGAAAUAGUUUUUCAUGUGUCCUCUGUUAUUGUCUUCCCCUUUACUCACUGACCACUCCCCUCUUUGAUAUACUAUUGACCAUGUUCCUCAUAUGUCGUACCUAUACAGUACUUAUUAUAGACAUGUGUGAUGAAGGACCCUGUGGACAUCUGGUAUCUGAAUGCCUCAAGUUAACAAAGAUACUGUGAUCAGGUGUGUUGAACACAGUCCCUCUAAGAUCAGGUGUGUUGAAACAGGUGUGUUGAACACAGUCCCUCUAAGAUCAGGUGUGUUGAAACAGGUGUGUUGAAACAGGUGUGUUGAAACAGGUGUGUUGAACACAGUCCCUCUAAAAUCAGGUGUGUUGAAACAGGUGUGUUGAACACAGUCCCUCUAAGAUCAGGUGUGUUGAAACAGGUGUGUUGAACACAGUCCCUCUAAGAUCAGGUGUGUUGAAACAGGUGUGUUGAACACAGUCCCUCUAAGAUCAGGUGUGUUGAACACAGUCCCUCUAAGAUCAGGUGUGUUGAACACAGUCCCUCUAAGAUCAGGUGUGUUGAAACAGGUGUGUUGAACACAGUCCCUCUAAGAUCAGGUGUGUUGAACACAGUCCCUCUAAGAUCAGGUGUGUUGAAACAGGUGUGUUGAACACAGUCCCUCUAAGAUCAGGUGUGUUGAAACAGGUGUGUUGAACACAGUCCCUCUAAGAUCAGGUGUGUUGAAACAGGUGUAUUGAACACAGUCCUUCUAAGAUCAGGUGUAUUGAAGAUCUCACCUGACCUGUUGUGUCAUGAGAAAUAUAAAUAAAUAAAAAACAUAAUCAAAUGAAUAUACUUCAUUGAACGUGACAAAGUAUAAAGACAUUGUACUGUACUGUAUUACCAAUAUGAUGUUGACAUACAUGAGUACAGUGUAAUAUUUUAGCUUAUUUAUAAUGCACCAGCCAGCCUUUACAGUGAAACCAGCAUAGCAUUGUAUAUAUCAACUGAUUUAUGCUCUCUUGGGUGGUUCCAUCUGGUUCCAACUGGUUCCAACUGGUUCCAUCUGGUUCCAACUGGUUUCAAAUGGUUCCAUCUGGUUCCAACUGGUUUCAUCUGGUUCCAUCUGGUUCCAACUGGUUUCAAAUGGUUCCAUCUGGUUCCAACUGGUUUCAUCUGGUUCCAUCUGGUUCCAUCUGGUUCCAACUGGUUCCAACUGGUUUCAACUGGUUUCAAAUGGUUUCAACUGGUUCCAACUGGUUUCAACUGGUUCCAACUGGUUUCAAAUGGUAUAGAAUUUCCUGAAAUGUUACUGUGUAGCUUCAUUUUGUAACAAUGUAUGCUCCUUUUUAUGUUAUUUUAGUUAUAUCAUUAUAAUGUUGACUGUUGUUACUCUAUCCUUGUUGUUGUUGUUAUAUUAUUCAUAUGUAAACAUUAUCAUUAUUACGCUAUAUUAUGAAACUCUGUGCCAAUCAAAAUCGCUAUUCGGCUUUUACCUGUCUGACUGGAUAAGAAAACACACACACAGAGAGAGAGAGAGAGAGAGAGAGAGAGUAGAGAAUUGAAGGAGUUGGUCUGGUGGGAGUCCGUGAUGUCAUCGGGCUCCAUCUUGCUUGAGAAACAGCAGAGACCUAAAGAGGAAAGGCGAUCCUGUGUCACACCCUGUCACACCUGGACCACCGAUUGAGAUGUGGUUUUGUUAAGGAAAUCAGGUGUUAAAUGACACAUUAAAUCUUUACUUCAUUUUUAAAAGUAUGUUUAUCUUAUUACUCUACUUCUUAUGGCUUAAAGCCCUUCAGAGCACUACAAUACUUAAUGAAAGCAUAAAUACCCCUCCUUCAUUCACCUCUAUACUAUUCCUGUUCCUGCUUUUAAAGUCCUCCCUAUAAAUGUGUGAUUUUUAGUCUUACCUCUUACUUUAUUUUUAAUACACGAUCAUUACAUUUAUUUUGGAACCUUUGCUGUUUUGUAUUUUUGUGUUAAAGAUGUUGUCAUAAUAUGAAUGCAGUGAAUAAAAUAUUGAUUGAAAACAAAA